rnacentral:lncRNA from 1 species
CUGCUUGUUGGGUACAAAGGCGUCCAAGGAAAUCGUGCACAGCUCCUACUCAUCCUUCCUCCGUCUCAUUUCCAUGGAUACUUCUCGCGCUUCCCCAACUUCUUCGUAGCUUUCUUCAACUCCUACAAAAAAAAAGAUAAUGGGUAGAUGUUAAGUGUUCUUUGGUGCUUGGUAAAAGAUAUAGACAGAAGCUAACCGGUGGCUGCCGGUUUCAGUAUGGGUCAUAAUCUGGAGAGCCUCAUCUGUACUCAUUCCAAGCUCUUGCAUUCGCUGGGGCGGUGAAGGCGAAGCUUUUAGCACACAUCCUUC